AUCAACGCUGGCGGCGUGCCUACACACAUGCAAGUCGAACGCGAAAGCCCCGCAAGGGGUAACGUAGAGUGGCAACGGGCGAGUAACACGUGGGUGACCUGCCUGAGAGUGGGGGAUAACGACCCGAAAGGGUCGCUAAUACCGCAUGACAUCCUGCGUUUGGAAACGCGGAGAUCAAAGCCGGGGAUCGCAAGGACCAUGGCGCUCACAGAGGGGCCCGCGGCCCGAUUAGCUAGUUGGUGAGGGUAACGGCUCACAAAGGCAACGAUCGGUAUCCGGCCUGAGAGGGCGGACGGACACACUGGGACUGAGACACGGCCCCAGACUCCUACGGGAAGGCAGUCAGUGGGGAAUUGUUCGCAAUGGGCGCAAGCCUGACGACGCAACGCCGCGUGGAGGAUGAAGAUCUUCGAGGUAGUAAACUCCUUUCGAUCGGGAAGAAAGUUUCGGGGGUGAACAAUCCGAGAAGUGACGGGUACCGAGAGAUAGAAGAGCCCGGCUAACUCUGUGCCAGCAGCCGCGGUUAUUACAGGGGGGGCAAGCGCUUGUUCGGAAUUACUGGGCGUAAAGGGCCAGUAGGCGGCCGAUUAAGGUCCGACGUGAAAUACCCAGCGCUUAACCUGGGAACUGCGUCGGAUACUGAUUGGCUUGAAUUCGGGAGAGGGAUGCAGAAUUCCAGGUAGUAGCGGUGAAAUGCGUAGAUACUCUGGAGGAAUACCGGUGGCGAAGGCGGCAUCCUGGACCGACAUUGACGCUGAACGGCCGAAAGCUAGGGGAGGCAAACGGGAUUAGAUACCCCGGUAGUCCUAGCCCUAAAGCGAUGAAUGUUUGGUGUGGCGGGUAUCGAUCCCUGCCGUGCCGAAGCUAACGCAUUAAACAUUCCGCCUGGGGAGUACGCGUCGCAAGGCUGAAACUCAAAGGAAUUGACGGGGGGCCGACCACAAGCGGUGUAGCAUGUGGUUCAAUUCGACGCCAACGCGAAGAACCCUUACCCAGGCUCGAACGGCAUUGGACAUCCUGCGAAAGCAGGCUCCCGCAAGGGCCGAUGUCGAGGUGCUGCAUGGCUGUCGUCAGCUCGUGUCGUGAGAUGUUUGAGGUUAAGUCCCCGCAACGAGCGCAACCCUUGUCCGCUGUUGCCAUCACGUUAUGGUGGGCACUCGGCGGAGACUGCCGGUGAUAAACCGGAGGAAGGUGGGGAUGACGUCAAGUCAGCAUGGCCUCUUUAUGUCUGGGGGCUACACACGUGCUACAAUGGCCGGUACAAACCGUCGCGAUCUCGCAAGAGGGAGUUAAUCGGAGAAGCCGGUCUCAGUUCGGAUUGCAGGCGCAACUCGCCUGCAUGAAGUUGGAAUCGCUAGUAAUCGCGGAUCAGCACGCCGCGGUGAAUACGUUCCCGGGCCUUGUACACACCGCCCGUCACAUCACGAAAGCUGGCUGUACUAGAAGUCGCCGCGCUAACCCCGCAAGGGAGGGCAAGUGCCUAAGUGUAUGGGUUAGGUGAAUUUGGGG
rnacentral:rRNA from 1 species